GAUGAACGCUGGCGGCGUGCCUAAUACAUGCAAGUCGAGCGAACGGACGAGAAGCUUGCUUCUCUGAUGUUAGCGGCGGACGUGUGAGUAACACGUGGAUAACCUACCUAUAAGACUGGUAUAACUGCGGGAAACCGGAGCUAGUACCGUAUAAUAUUUUGAACCGCAUGGUUCCAAGGUGAAAGACUGUCUUGCGGUCACGUAUAGAUGGAUCUGCGCUCCAUUAGCUAGUUGGUAAGGUAACGGCUUACCAAGGCAACGAUGCAUAGCCGACCUGAGAGGGUGAUCGGCCACACUGGAACUGAGACACGGUCCAGACUCCUACGGGAGGCAGCAGUAGGGAAUCUUCCGCAAUGGGCGAAAGCCUGACGGAGCAACGCCGCGUGAGUGAUGAAGGUCUUCGGAUCGUAAAACUCUGUUAUUAGGGAAGAACAUAUGUGUAAGUAACUGUGCACAUCUUGACGGUACCUAAUCAGAAAGCCACGGCUAACUACGUG
rnacentral:rRNA from 1 species